rnacentral:rRNA from 1 species
UACGUAGGGUGCGAGCGUUAAUCGGAAUUACUGGGCGUAAAGCGUGCGCAGGCGGUUUGUAAGUCAGAUGUGAAAUCCCCGGGCUCAACCUGGGAACUGCGUUUGAAACUACAAGGCUAGAGUGUAGCAGAGGGGGGUAGAAUUCCACGUGUAGCAGUGAAAUGCGUAGAGAUGUGGAGGAAUACCAAUGGCGAAGGCAGCCCCCUGGGUUAACACUGGACGCUCAUGCCACGAAAGCGU